rnacentral:rRNA from 1 species
UACGGAGGGUGCAAGCAUUGAUCGGAAUUACUGGGCGUAAAGGGCGCGUAGGCGGCUUAGAAAGUCAGAUGUGAAAUUCCGGGGCUCAACCCCGGAGCUGCAUUUGAAACUCCUAAGCUAGAGGAUGGUUAGGGAAAACGGAAUUCCACGUGUAGCGGUGAAAUGCGUAGAUAUGUGGAAGAACACCAGUGGUGAAGACGGUUUUCUGGGCCAAACCUGACGCUGAGGCGCGAAAGCUAGGGGAGCAAACAGG